AUGGGAAGGGAGGAGACUGGAAAAGUUAACCAGCGGCACCCAAAUCCCCACGCUGGGAAAGCGCUCAUCUGCCGUUUCGACCGCCGCUCUCAUUUGGGCAGACAAGGUGAGUCUUUCCUUCUGAGAGCGAUUGUUAAGGCCAAAGGCCAAGAUGACCUGCUCCACCUCUGUGUAGACUGUGGCCUUUUUUAUGAUCUCCUCUGCGUGUCUAAGGUUUGCCCCUGGGUAACUCUCCACCUGCAGUUGGUCAUUUGUGAAUGGGGGGAAUCUGCUCAAAUUGGAGUCCCCCAGAAUGAGCCACUUUUUAGUAACGCUCAGACCCCAAUCCUGCAUUUUGUUAUUUGUGUGGAUGUGUCUGGUGGCUCUGCGUGUCUCCGGUUCAGGUGAGUAGGGUUGUUGGGGGGUUUUUUGUGCAUCCAUUCUGAGCUGACUUUGCACCGCUGACCUGAGCCUCCUGGCCAUCUGUCCAGUACCCUCCACUGGUGAGGACAAAGGGACCAAUUUCUGCUCGCUUAGGUCAAUGAGCAGGUCCGCCUCUAUCGGAGCAUCCAAGAUGGAGUCCGUCUCCACCACGCAGCAGGGGUUUGGCUUAGGGGAGGAGGUUACCGUAGUAGGUAGGUGGGCUGAACGGGGGGUUCUCUGUGGCUGUGGUGGGUUAUCUUGGGCUGGGAUGUCUAAGAGAUUUUCCUCUCUUAUAGGUGACCAUCCUCCUGAUUCCUCCGUUUCCGUGCCAACUGACACCUUUUGAAUGGAUCUGGGUGGAGCAGGUGAUGUGGGAACCAAUUCCAAUUGUUUUGGUGGUUGAUGCACCUCAACUGUAAUUGUAUGUUUGUCCACUGGUGUUGUUUCAGUGUCAUUGGCCGUCUGUAAAGCAGGUGGAUCUGCAGCAGGAGGAAGAGGGGAGGAGAGAGGGGGUGACGGCGGCGCAGGACCGAUUAUCCCCUCACCUCCCAUUCUGGCAAUGAUGUGUGCCUGUGCCUGCUCCAGAGUCUCCCCAUGGAGCCGUUUGCCCAGGUCCCGUUUUGCCCAAAUGGAGGCAAUCUGGAAAGGUCCCUCCCAUCCCUGGAGUGACAACUGGGUGAGCGCCCCCAGCUCCAACUCCAGUUCAUAUAUGUAAUGAUCCCGGAGGAUCAUCAUGGUGGUUGCCUCCCAGUUCCUGGCAUUCCCCUCUAAUAAAAGACUUGUUCUCUGAUUGGGAUUUGCAGGUUUUAUUGUGUUUGCCAGGUUUAUAGACAGUUUUCUGAUGGUGGGAGUGGACUAUUCAGCCAAAGCGAUUUUAAGAUGGUGGGUAAUUUUAAUUAUUUUUAACAUGGUUCGAAUUUUAAGACCAAAAUCUGGGUCAUCAGAUUUAGGCUUAUUUUUGUUCAUGGUUGUCCGAUUAUUUGUGUUUUGUCGCAUUGCAGCGUUCCCCCUGUUAUAUGAACGCGCGUUGCGAUUUUUAUAAUUGUGCGGGGCCGAGUAACGUCCCCGCGGUUCAAAAAAUUGCGGCUGAAAGCCUCGCUUUUGCAAGCGUUGUUGCGGGGCAUAGUCGUCCCGUCUGCUACUCAUCCUCGUAACCGAGGCGUAGCUGCGACGUUCCCGACUACGGUACGGCCCCCCGUCACGUCCGUUGCGGUGUUCCGCCUCCGGAGCACGGUUCCUGCCCUCAUGGCGGAGCCAGUCAUGACGGCUGGGAUUCGGAGGCUCGGGGCGGCGGUGAUGUUGAUUCCGCUUGCGCCCUCGAGACACCAGAAUCCACCCGUCAUCGUUCCUGUACUCCGCCAUGUAGAAGUUGGUAAGUAUUCUCCGGAUUUUUUUAAAUCGAAAACUAGCUAUUUUGUUGCAACGUUUCGGUCCGAAAAGAACCUUCUUCAGGCUUAGCUCGUUUUGCUGUUGCUAUUGCUAUCUGUGCUGUAUCUCCGUUUGAUUUCCUGAUGUGUCUGAUUCAGAUUUUCAAGGUAGGUACUGAGCUCCCGCCUGAAUGGGGCUUUUGUAAACUCCGGUCAGGGGGCGGAGUGUGGAGGGAGUUUUUCGAAGAUUUUCUUGCUCCAAUUUUCCAAGUAAUAGGAAAUCUCCAAUAGUCCAAAUUAUGUGUUUUCCUUUUGUUUUUUGGUUUAAAUUCUU
ensembl:lncRNA